rnacentral:rRNA from 1 species
GUUGAUAAGGUUAAGUGAAUAAGGGCGCACGGUGGAUGCCUUGGCACUAGGAGCCGAUGAAGGACGGGACUAACACCGAUAUGCUUUGGGGAGCUGUAAGUAAGCUAUGAUCCAGAGAUUUCCGAAUGGGGGAACCCAAUAUCUUUUAUAGGAUAUUACUUUUCAGUGAAUACAUAGCUGAUUAGAGGUAGACGCAGAGAACUGAAACAUCUUAGUACCUGCAGGAAGAGAAAGAAAAUUCGAUUCCCUGAGUAGCGGCGAGCGAAACGGGAAGAGCCCAAACCAACAAGCUUGCUUGUUGGGGUUGUAGGACUCCAAUAUGGUAGUCUGUUAGUAUAGUUGAAGGAUUUGGAAAAUUCCGCUAAAGAGGGUGAAAGCCCCGUAGACGAAAUGCUAACAACACCUAGGAGGAUCCUGAGUACGGCGGAACACGAGAAAUUCCGUCGGAAUCCGCGGGGACCAUCCCGCAAGGCUAAAUACUCCCUAGUGACCGAUAGUGAACCAGUACCGUGAGGGAAAGGUGAAAAGCACCCCGGAAGGGGAGUGAAAUAGAUCCUGAAACCGUGUGCCUACAACAAGUCAAAGCUCGUUAAUGAGUGAUGGCGUGCCUUUUGUAGAAUGAACCGGCGAGUUACGAUUGCAUGCGAGGUUAAGUCGAAGAGACGGAGCCGCAGCGAAAGCGAGUCUGAAUAGGGCGAAUGAGUAUGUAGUCGUAGACCCGAAACCAUGUGAUCUACCCAUGUCCAGGUUGAAGGUGCGGUAAAACGCACUGGAGGACCGAACCCACGUACGUUGAAAAGUGCGGGGAUGAGGUGUGGGUAGCGGAGAAAUUCCAAACGAACUUGGAGAUAGCUGGUUCUCUCCGAAAUAGCUUUAGGGCUAGCCUCGGAAUUGAGAAUGAUGGAGGUAGAGCACUGUUUGGACUAGGGGCCCAUCUCGGGUUACCGAAUUCAGAUAAACUCCGAAUGCCAUUCAUUUAUAUCCGGGAGUCAGACUGCGAGUGAUAAGAUCCGUAGUCGAAAGGGAAACAGCCCAGACCACCAGCUAAGGUCCCAAAAUAUAUGUUAAGUGGAAAAGGAUGUGGGGUUGCACAGACAACUAGGAUGUUGGCUUAGAAGCAGCCACCAUUUAAAGAGUGCGUAAUAGCUCACUAGUCGAG